AACAAACGCUGGCGGCGUGCCUAACACAUGCAAGUCGUACGAGAAAGGGUUCUUCGGAACCUGAGUAGAGUGGCGCACGGGUGAGUAACGCGUGGAUAAUCUGCCCUUCAGAUGGGAAUAACUCAUCGAAAGGUGGGCUAAUACCGAAUAACGCUGUGAGACUUUGGUCGAUCAGCCAAAGAGAGCCUCUGCUUGCAUGCCCUCGCUGAAGGAUGAGUCCGCGUACCAUUAGCUAGUUGGCAGGGUAAUGGCCUACCAAGGCGACGAUGGUUAGCUGGUCUGAGAGGAUGAUCAGCCACACUGGAACUGAGACACGGUCCAGACUCCUACGGGAGGCAGCAGUGAGGAAUCUUGCGCAAUGGGGGAAACCCUGACGCAGCAACGCCGCGUGAGUGAGGAAGGUCUUCGGAUCGUAAAGCUCUGUCAGAAGGAAAGAACCACAUGGGGGUAAAUAGCCCCUGUGUCUGACGGUACCAUCAGAGGAAGCACCGGCUAACUCCGUGCCAGCCGCCGCGGUAACAC
rnacentral:rRNA from 1 species